rnacentral:rRNA from 1 species
UACGUAGGGGGCAAGCGUUGUCCGGAUUUAUUGGGCGUAAAGAGCGUGUAGGCGGCUUCACAGGUCCGCUGUGAAAACUCGAGGCUCAACCUCGAGAUGUCGGUGGAAACCGUGUGGCUAGAGUCCGGAAGAGGAGAGUGGAAUUCCCGGUGUAGCGGUGAAAUGCGCAGAUAUCGGGAAGAACACCCACGGCGAAAGCACUCUGCUGGGCCGACACUGACACUGAGAGACGAAAGCUAGGGGAGCGAAUGGG